GUAACCUGCCCUUAACUUCGGGAUAAGCCUGGGAAACCGGGUCUAAUACCGGAUACGACCUCCUGGCGCAUGCCAUGGUGGUGGAAAGCUUUAGCGGUUUUGGAUGGACUCGCGGCCUAUCAGCUUGUUGGUGGGGGUAAGGGCCCACCAAGGCGACGACGGGUAGCCGGCCUGAGAGGGUGACCGGCCACACUGGGACUGAGACACGGCCCAGACUCCUACGGGAGGCAGCAGUGGGGAAUAUUGCACAAUGGGCGAAAGCCUGAGGGGGGCGACGCCGCGUGAGGGAUGACGGCCUUCGGGUUGUAAACCUCUUUCAGCAGGGAAGAAGCGAAAGUGACGGUACCUGCAGAAGAAGCGCCGGCUAACUACGUGCCAGCAGCCGCGGUAAUACGUAGGGCGCAAGCGUUAUCCGGAAUUAUUGGGCGUAAAGAGCUCGUAGGCGGUUUGUCGCGUCUGCUGUGAAAGCCCGGGGCUCAACCCCGGGUCU
rnacentral:rRNA from 1 species